UCCAGGGUAGCCAAGUGGACAUGGCACCUGCCCGGUAAGCAGAAGGUUGUGGGUUCGAUUCCCGCCCCUGGAC
rnacentral:tRNA from 1 species